CUCCAUUGCCAGGUUUGUGAAGCUCUUGGCCAGAGCACUCUACAACCAUAUCAUUUCACUUUGCAGUCCACAAAAAGGGACAAGACUUGGUACUGGAGAUAGGACCAAUUCACAUUACCCCCUCGCCAACCCCCCUCCCACACCUUUACAUGUUUUAACACUUUGAAUGUGACUUGCAGGAGAAGUAAGCAGUGUGGAGUGCAAAUGCAAUAGUCUACUAUUGCAAUGUGACAUUAGAAUUUCUCAGUACAGAUCUGGGACAACCUUCCCUGGUUACACUACUGG